rnacentral:rRNA from 1 species
UUUUCGAACGGGAAACCUUUUAUUGAAGCUUCAGCAGAUUUAACUGGUUUCUAGUGGCGGACGGGUGAGUAACGCGUGGGUAACCUGCCUUGUACAGGGGGAUUACAGUCAGAAAUGACUGCUAAUACCGCAUAAGCGCACAGGACCGCAUGGUCCGGUGUGAAAAACUCCGGUGGUAUAAGAUGGACCCGCGUUGGAUUAGCUUGUUGGUGGGGUAACGGCCCACCAAGGCGACGAUCCAUAGCCGGCCUGAGAGGGUGAACGGCCACAUUGGGACUGAGACACGGCCCAGACUCCUACGGGAGGCAGCAGUGGGGAAUAUUGCACAAUGGGGGAAACCCUGAUGCAGCGACGCCGCGUGAAGGAAGAAGUAUCUCGGUAUGUAAACUUCUAUCAGCAGGGAAGAAAAUGACGGUACCUGACUAAGAAGCCCCGGCUAACUACGUGCCAGCAGCCGCGGUAAUACGUAGGGGGCAAGCGUUAUCCGGAUUUACUGGGUGUAAAGGGAGCGUAGACGGAUGGACAAGUCUGAUGUGAAAGGCUGGGGCUCAACCCCGGGACUGCAUUGGAAACUGCCCGUCUUGAGUGCCGGAGAGGUAAGCGGAAUUCCUAGUGUAGC